rnacentral:lncRNA from 1 species
AGCACACUGGAACUUUGCAAAUUGCGAGGUUCGAGUGUUUGAUAUGGAUCCCGAACUUUUCCACACUUGGUGGAGGUCGUAGAUGGUAUUCCGACCUAAAAGUUCGAUUUCUGGAGUUUUGGCUUUGUCCUGAGAGUUUUCACUCUCGGAGACCGGUCCCUGAUGGGAGAGACCGGUCUUCUCAGCACAGUGUCGCGACCAGCUUGAGGCAACCGGUCCCUGGCUGUGAGAGACCGGUUCCCGAACGUGUGUUUUGCGAGAAGGGUCCGAGAGACCAGUACCUGGCAGGGAGAGACCGGUUCCUGAACGUUGGUUCUGCGGGGCAGGCUGAGAGACCGGUCCCAGGUGUCGGGGAGACUGGUCCCUCAGUCCGAAAACUGCCCAGACCCGGGUGUGCGCAGAGUGGAUUUUUGAGGAACCUAAGUGGAUUUUGUUACCUUAUAGGCUAUAGAGAGCCUCUCCUCUCCCUCUCACUCUUAUUUCCUCUCCUUCACACUCUCCUUACACUUCUAGAGAGAGAAGGAGAAGGAGAAGAAGGAGAAGGAAAGGAGAGGAGCUUACUUGGAGGCCUUGGAGCAUCAUCUUCUUCCUCAUUUCUCACCUUGGUGGCUUGGAGCUUGCAGUUGGAGCCUUGUGGAGGAUCAAACUCCAACCCUACUUGGUUUAGAGCUUGGUUUGGAGCUUCUCUUGAGGUUGGUAGCUGGUAUUUCCUAUUUAAUACAAGUUUUUCUAGAUUUUACUAGAUAAAACCCUAGAUUUUGGGAUUUAGGGUUUACUUUGGAGAUUUUUAUUUGAGGGCUUUGAGACCUAAUUGAUGGGUUUAGAACCUUUAUUUAGGUUGGAUUUGAAGAACUCUAACUCUCAUUUGGAGCUUGAGAGAGGAUUUCUUUACCUAGGUGAGUUUUUCUCCACCUUAGCCUAUGUUGCUUAUUGAUUGAGCUUAGGGUUGAUCGUAAGGUUUGUUUGACCCUUGUUCCUACAUCUUUAGGGUGCUAGGAGACUCGUGGACAUCUUCGUCGGAUCUUACGAAGGGUUUCGGUAACUUCGGUGGGUUUGACUUCAUGAAAUCGAGGCAAAAUAGCCCCUAAGUAUUCGAUACUUGUCGUAACGCCAAUUCGAUUGCAUAUUUAUGUUAAAUGAGAUUUAUGUGAAUUUUAGAACACUUAAAUUGCAUGCCUUAUGUAUCAUAAAAAUUUCACUCUAUAUAGUAGGGCAUUCGGGGCAUUUUUGCAUGCAUAUGAGGAGUGUUCGUGUUAGCGACUUGGAAACGUGUCUCUUAUGUUAGAGUUUACUCAAAUUAUGCAUUUGUAAACAAUAAACUCAUGUUUGGACUUAGUUGACAAAAAGCCAUAAAGAGGCACUUGACAUAGUAAACUGUGAAACUGCAACAUAGAGACAUAGCAAUAGGCCAUUGAACAUCUUCUAUAUUCGAUGUUAGAGACAUGAUGAUAUAGAGAUAGGCCUUUGAGACAUUCGACGUAUAUUUCAUGUUUUUAGACAUGAGGACUUGGUACUUGAGACAGAUUUUUCGCUUGCUUGCCAUUGUGCUCAUUCGCACAUUCUUGUGAGGGUCGCUCCUACAAGCCGGCACUCCGGAGAUAGCCAUCGCGACAUAUGCUCGCUCGUGCGGGAUUGGGCGCCGAAAUGGGAUGCCGUGGGGAAGGCUCAUUCCUAGAGUGGGGAUGUUGACUACCACGGGACCAUUAGGCACGACGCAGGUCAGACAGCCUACGGGUGGGUCUUAUAUGAUUGGAACUUGGUGACAGAACAUGCCAUUUAGACUUUGACUAGAAUAGUAAACAAUGACAUUUUACUAUUUAGCUUGUGGACAUCAUGCUAGUGAUACCUUGGUACAUUCAUGUUAGAAUAGUCCUUUUUAUUACUUAUGCAAUUCAUGCUAAGUAGAGAUAUCAUGUUGUAGUAAGUUACAUGUUUACUCACAUAUCGAUUCUAUUGCUUUUAUUGUUACUUACCUGUUUAGCUCUUUUGGGCCUAGUGGUGCUUUCACUGAAGUUAGUAAUUGCCCACUGGGAACUAUUAUUUAAUAGUUCUCAUGCCCCUUGUUUUAUGUUUCCUUUUCAGAGCCCGAUGGACCGGCGGAGGCACGGGAUCGCGGCAAGGGAAUCGCUAGCUAGAUAGCGAGAAUUUGCUGUUGCUUAGGUAGUUUUCUCUCUUUUUGUUGUAGUUGAGAGAGAGUGAGGUUUUGUAUCCAUGUAUAGAGACCACCUAUGUAUUUACUUAUAUCUCUUGUUUCGGGUUUCCUCUUGUGCUACUUUAUGUUUUCAUUUAAUGGAUUUUUAGUUUAGGGUUUUUAUCCUCUAUUAUAGCAUCUAGAUAUACUUGCUCUGAUACUUCUAUAUGUUUUCUUUUUACUGCUUUCUUUAUCGUUUUGUUUUAUAUGCCUUAUAUGUUUUAGACAUAUGGCUGGUCUGGACACGCGCCGGGCGGGCUUCCGCUGGGUCCCGGGGCGUGACAGAUUAGUUUGGUAUCAGAGGCUAGGGUUGAGUCUUAGUGGGCCUAGCAAACCUUAGGCCGGUUGGACUAUAGGAAAUAGGCUCGUGAGAGACGAGGUCUAUUUGACUUAUAAGCGAAAGUAUUUUGAUUGGAUAUCUUUGAUAACUCUAGAAAGUAGAGUUAAAUUGAAGUGUAUAGCUCCUAACUUCGCAGAGGGUUACGUUGGCGGCCGACAACGUAACAUCGGGAGUUAGUAGUGAAGCACACUUCCUUACUUUCGCAUGAUUUGGGGUAUUACCUUCUUGAGUGGGGAUUCGAUGGCGUGAGUUUACUAACUUACGCUUUUAUGAUGUUGUAGUGAGAUACUGAUCACUCGCUCCCAAUCUGCCGGAGCGGAUAAUGCGGCAAACUUGAAGGAGGUCGAGACCUCCGCUACCUCCGGAUCUGGCGAGGUCCAAGAGUUGAGGAACCAACUUGCGGCCCUCACCGACUUAGUGACUCAGCAGGCGGAGGCGGCCUGACAGCAGACUGAGGCUGCGCGCCGGCAUGAGGCACGGAUGAAGUGCCUGGAUGACCUUCUUCUGCAGCAGGCGGUAGCUUCCAGGGAGACCGAGGCCCCUACACCGCCAGCUCUGGUUGUGGACGUCGCGCCGAGGGCGCCGUCCCCCGUGCCCAGUUCGUCGCAUGCGGCACCCGUGGCCGCGCCUCAGGAGGAGGCUUUGGCGGCGCCACCUGUUCAGGCGCCCCCGAUUGGAGCUAUUUUUCCCGUGUUGGUCGAGGGAGCGGAGCGAGACCGACUGAUGGAGCGCCUCAACGAGUUCAGAAGGUGCAGUCUCCGGAUCUUCGACGGCGAGAAGGUCGACCACUGGAUCGUGGAGAAGUGGUUGAUGCAUAUGGAGAAACUCUUCCGCGACACUUUCGUGGAGGAGAGGGAUCGAGUUUGGCUCGCCACUCACCAUCUGGACAGCGAGGCCUAUCGCUGGUGGUUGGAUCUUCAGGAGAAUGCCAACACCGACUUAGCGGCCAUCACGUGGAAGAAGUUCAAGGAGCUUCUUUUGGCGCAUUACUUCCCGACCAGCGUUAAGCAGAAGAUGGAGCAGGAUCUGCGCAACUUGCGCCAAGGUGAUCGGACUGUAGCCGAGUACGAGCGGGAGUUUGCUCGGCUUCUACACUGCGUACCUUUCGUCGUGCGGGACGACGAGGACAAGGCCCGCAUCUUCGAGCGAGGGUUGCGACCGUCAAUCUUCCGGUUUGUGCAAUCCUCUAACCUUCAAACCUACCGGGAGGUGGUGGAUCGCCGGCUCAUCGUGGAGAGCGGCGCGGAAGACGUCCAGGAGCGGCAAGAGGCUAUGGACAAGGGUAAGGCCAAGAGGCCUGCAGCUGAGGGUGUGAGCCAGACGCACUCUGGGAGGCCGCCGAAGCAUCCUAGGAGCCAGCAGUGGCUCGGCGACUCACCAUGGAGGUUUUGACCGACGCCGACCUCCCCAGUGCGUGAUCUGUGGUGGUCCCCACAUUCCACCGCAGUGCCCGCAGCGGGGAGGGAGGUAUUUCCAGUAUGGCCAGGAGGGCCACUUUUGGACCAAGUGCCCGAGAGGUUCUUUACCGGCACAGUCGAUUGCAUCGGCACCGGCUCUACCAAUCGCUAGCCACGGGACUCCGUCGACACAGUACCAGCCUGGGCGGCCACCCGUCGAGCGCCAGAGCGAGGGAUCUCGACAGGCCCCGAGUGGGCGUUUGUAUGCCGCUCAGACCGAGAAUGCGGCGUCAGCCGAGGAUGUGGUUGCAAGUAUCAUUUUACUUGAUGGCAUUAGAGUUCGUGCUUUAUUUGAUACCGGUGCAUUGCAUUCAUUUAUAGAUCGGCUGUUUGCCGAGUUGCAUAGCAUCCCUUUGAUUUUUUUGUUGCAUCCGGGACAUGUUGUAGUACCCGACCACACACUGGAUAUUAGAGAGUAUUGCCCUAGUUGCCCUGUUCAAGUAGGAGAUUGGAUCAUGCCCGUAGAUUUGCUAGCUCUGCGCAAGCUAGGGAAUUUCGAUGUGGUCUUGGGUAUGGAUUUGCUAACCAAGUAUUAUGCCACGAUUGAUUGUAAGAAUCGCACGAUUACUUUUAGAGAACCGGGGCAAACUGAGGUUGUGUAUAGAGGAUGCCGGAGUUCGCUUUUUGCGAUGUCGAUCAGCUCGUCUCGAGCUAGGCAGCUGAUCAGCCGAGGAUGUGUAGCUUACUUGGCUAGUGUUGUGUUGAGGGGCGAAGAUGACACCCCUAGGAUUGAGGAUAUUUCGGUGGUACGGGAGUUUCAGGACGUGUUUCCAGUUGAGCUACCGGGUAUGCCACCCGAUAGGGAGAUCGAGUUUGUGAUAGAUCUCAUCCCUGGGACUACUCCAAUCUCGAAGGCACCCUAUAGGAUGGCACCGGCGGAGCUAAAGGAGCUGAGGGCACAGAUACAUGAUCUGUUGGACAAGAGCUUCAUUCGACCGAGCGUCUCGCUGUGGGGAGCGCCAGUUCUGUUCAUCAAGAAAAAAGGACGGAUCACUUUGCCUAUGUGUAGACUAUCGUGAACUUAAUAAAGUCACGAUCAAGAAUAAGUAUCCGCUGCCGAGGAUCGAUGACUUGUUUGAUCAGCUUCAAGGAUCGUGUGAGUAUUCCAAGAUCGACUUGCAGUCGGGACACCACCAAUUGAAGAUCAAACCCAAGGAUGUAUCGAAGACGGCUUUUAGAAUACGGUAUGGACAUUAUGAGUUCACAGUUAUGCCGUUUGGGCUUACUAAUGCCCCGGCUGCUUUUAUGGAUCUGAUGAACCGUGUUUUCAAGCCUUACUUGGAUAGAUUUGUCGUGGUGUUCAUCGACGACAUUUUGGUUUAUUCUCGAAGUGACGCAGAUUACAAGGAGCAUUUGAGGCUUGUACGUCAAAUACUUCGGGAAAAGGAGCUGUAUGCCAAGUUGAGAAAGUGUGAAUUUUGGCUUCGAGAGGUUGCUUUUCUUGGACAUUUGAUUUUGGGAUCGGGUAUAGCUGUGGAUCCUAAAAAAAUUAAGGCUAUCAAGGAUUGGCCUAGACCGACGUGUCACGGAGAUACGGAGCUUCGUUGGAUUGGCCGGUUACUACCGGAGGUUUGUUGAGGGAUUCGCUAAGCUAUCUACUACUCUCACGAGGCUCACGCAUAAAGGUGUCAAGUUCAUCUGGAAUGAGGCAUGUGAGAGAAGCUUCCAAGAGCUGAAGCAACGACUGACGACCGCCCCUAUCCUAACCCUGCCAAUUGCUGGAGCAGAGUAUGUGGUUUACAGUGAUGCAUCUCUUAACGGAUUCGGCUGUGUUUUGAUACAGGACGGCAAGGUGAUCGCGUAUACUUCUCGCCAAUUAAAGAAAUAUGAAAAGAAUUACCCUACGCACGAUUUGGAGUUUGCGGUCGUAGUCUUCGCAUUGAAGUUAUGGCGCCACGACCUCUAUGGCGAGCGGUGUGAAGUGUACACAGAUCACAAGAGCUCGAAGUACUUGUUCACUCAGAAGGAGACUUGAGACAGCGUAGAUGGCUGGAGCUGCUCAAGGAUUAUGAUUUGACUAUUCUUUACCACCCGGGCAAGGCUAACGUGGUGGCGGAUGCACUAAGUAGGAAAUCAACAGAAAACUUAGCGAUGUAUGUUGUUACUUAACCGCAAUUGAUCGAGCAAAUGAAGCGGUUGGAGUUGGAGGUAGUGACUCCUGACACGCCUGUGAGGUUAAUGACUUUGGUGAUGCAACCCACACUCUUGGAUAGAAUUAAAGAGAAGCAAGCUUCCGAUGUGGAGUUGCGAAAGAUUAAAGGUAAAAUGGUUGAUGAUUGCACCGACGAUUUCCUUGUGGAUGACCAAGGAUUUAUGCGUUUCCGUGGACGGAUUUAUGUACCGGCAGAUUCGGGAAUUAAAGAGGAUAUUCUUCAAGAAGCACACCGAGCGCCCUAUGUUAUACAUUCGGGAGGCACCAAGAUGUACAAGGACUUGAAGUUGCUUUAUUGGUGGCCCGGGAUGAAAAAAGAUGUUGGCGAGUUUGUAGCUCGAUGUCUAACUUGCCAACAAGUGAAAGCUGAGCACCGAUUACCCACGGGAAAGCUUCAGAGUUUGCCUAUUCCCGUGUGGAAGUGGGAGAAGAUUACCAUGGAUUUCGUGACUGGAUUGCCUCGCUCUCAGGCCGGGCAUGAUGCUAUAUGGGUGAUCGUGGAUAGGUUGACGAAGUCAGCGCACUUCAUACCUAUUCAUACUAUUUGGACCGGAGAGAAGGUCGCACAAGUAUACCUUGAUGAAAUUGUGUGACUUCAUGGAGUGCCUACAUCGAUAGUAUCGGAUCGAGACACUCGGUUUGUGUCUCAUUUAUGGAGGAGUCUACAAGACGCCUUGGGCAUCCGAUUGGACUUCAGCACUGCUUUCCACCCCUAGAGUGAUGGGCAGUCGGAGCGCACCAUUCAAACUUUAGAGGAUAUGCUCCGAAUAUGUUUUAUAGACUUCUAGGGAGGAUGGUCGCAGCAUCUACCGAUGGCGGAGUUUGCUUAUAACAACAGUUAUCAAGCAAGCAUCAAGAUGGCACCUUUCGAAGCACUUUAUGGACGGAAGUGUAGAUCACCACUUCAUUGGAGCGACGUAGGCGAGAGAUUGGCUUUAGGCCCUGACGUGCUCCAGGAAGCUGAGGACAAAGUUCGAAUUGCUCGGGAGCGACUUUUGACGGCACAGAGUAGACAGAGGAGCUACACCGACCGACGACGGCGAGACUUGGAGUUCCAAGUUGGAGACCAUGUUUUCUUGAAGGUCUCGCCAACUAGAGGAAUCAAGAGGUUUGGGAUUCGGGGAAAGUUAAGCCCCCGGUUUAUUGGACCAUAUAAGAUCUUGGAACGUGUAGGUCCGGUGGCGUAUCGACUUGCUCUACCACCGAACCUAUCGGUCCUGCACAACGUCUUUCAUGUAUCGGUCCUUCGGAAGUAUGUCUUCAACCCGACUCACGUAUUGGACGCUACACCUUUGGAGUUGCGGGACGACUUGAGCUUCGAGGAGCAACCAGUGAGGAUUUUGGCUCGUGAGGUGCGAAAACUGCGGAAUCGGGAUAUUCCGUAUGUGAAGGUUCUUUGGAGCAACCACGGGGAGCGGGAGGCCACGUGGGAGCUGGAGAGCGCGCUACAGGAGCGCUAUCCCCAUCUUUUUCAGAUGGAGUCUUGAGGUAUGUGUUGGCUUUCGAGUUUCGUGGACGAAACUUCUUUUUAGGAGGGAUGAAUGUAGCACACUGGACCUUUGCAAAUUGCGAGGUUCGAGUGUUUAAUAUGGAUCCCGAACUUUUCCACACUUGGUGGAAGGUCGUAGAUGGUAUUCCGACCUAAAAGUUCGAUUUCUGGAGUUUUGGCUUUGUCCUGAGAGUUUUCACUCUCAGGGACCGGUCCCUGAUGGGAGAGACCGGUCCCCUCAGCACAGUGUCGAGACCAGCUUGAGGCAACCGGUCCCUGGCUGUGAGAGACCGGUUCCCGAACGCGUGUUUUGCGAGAAGGGUCCGAGAGACCGGUCCUUGGUAGGGAGAGACCGGUUC